rnacentral:tRNA from 1 species
GGGGGUGUGGCUCAGUGGUAGAGCUCCUACCUCGAAUUCAUGAGGCCCUGGGUUCAAUCUCCAGCACUUCAG